GAUGAACGCUGGCGGCGUGCCUAAUACAUGCAAGUCGAGCGAACGGACGAGAAGCUUGCUUCUCUGAUGUUAGCGGCGGACGGGUGAGUAACACGUGGAUAACCUACCUAUAAGACUGGGAUAACUUCGGGAAACCGGAGCUAAUACCGGAUAAUAUUUUGAACCGCAUGGUUCAAAAGUGAAAGACGGUCUUGCUGUCACUUAUAGAUGGAUCCGCGCUGCAUUAGCUAGUUGGUAAGGUAACGGCUUACCAAGGCAACGAUGCAUAGCCGACCUGAGAGGGUGAUAGGCCACACUGGAACUGAGACACGGUCCAGACUCCUACGGGAGGCAGCAGUAGGGAAUCUUCCGCAAUGGGCGAAAGCCUGACGGAGCAACGCCGCGUGAGUGAUGAAGGUCUUCGGAUCGUAAAACUCUGUUAUUAGGGAAGAACAUAUGUGUAAGUAACUGUGCACAUCUUGACGGUACCUAAUCAGAAAGCCACGGCUAACUACGUG
rnacentral:rRNA from 1 species